rnacentral:rRNA from 1 species
GACGAACGCUGGCGGCGUGCCUAACACAUGCAAGUCGAGCGGAGAUGAUGUGAGGAAGUUUUCGGAUGGAAUCACAUUAUUUUAGCGGCGGACGGGUGAGUAACGCGUGAGCGACCAACCUUGCACAGGGGGAUAACGGACCGAAAGGUUCACUAAUACCGCAUGAGACCACGGUGUUGCAUGACACAGGGGUCAAAGGAGCAAUCCGGUGCAAGACGGGCUCGCGUCCGAUUAGGUAGUUGGAGGGGUAACGGCCCACCAAGCCUAUGAUCGGUAGCCGACCUGAGAGGGUGAUCGGCCACAUUGGAACUGAGAUACGGUCCAAACUCCUACGGGAGGCAGCAGUGGGGAAUAUUGGGCAAUGGGGGAAACUCUGACCCAGCAACGCCGCGUGAAGGAGAAGGUUUUCGGAUUGUAAACUUCUGUCCUUGGUGAAGAGAAGAAGACGGUAGCCAAGGAGGAAGCCCCGGCUAACUACGUG